CCGGGAUGGGGGAUCUGCCCUGGAGCUGGAGCCUCCCAAGGUCAGUGCUGGAGGCUGAGCCCCAGUGCCCAGUGCAGAUAUGGAGCUAUUCCAAAGCCUUUGGAGAAUGAGUCCUGCUGGCUCCAGAGCUUCCCGAGUGGUUGGGUGCCGGGGGAUCCCUGAUAGCCGUGCGGUGGCGAAGCUGCCUUGGGCCUGUUGUUCAGUCUGGGAAUGUUGGAAGGAGACUGAAGUGUUGGAGUUUCACCUCGUUAACUCUUCAGAACAUGGCACCAGCUGGUGUUUUGGGUGCCGGGCAAUGCAGGGUAGAGGGGAUGGAAGGAGCUGUCACUUCCCACUGAGAGCACAGCAAUUAAUUCCUAGGAGGUGCUGUCUUUCCUCCUUUCCCUGGUGGAGCUGAGCUUGCUGUGCAGAGCUGUAGUUUCAGGACACAGUUGUGAUGCUUCCUAUGGGAACAGAGGAAUAUUCCUGCUAUGGUGGACUCUGUCAUUCCUAUUAUUCCUGUGUGGAAAAUACUGCAGUGAUGUUCAACAGCAUGAAACCCUAAAAUAGAUGCUGGACAGGACUUUUCCCCAGUGACUGGCAAAGUUGGAGUCCAUGGAGCAGAGGUUUUGGAGACCUGCAGGACCAUUCCAGACCAAACUGGAGACAUAUUUGUGUGGAUAGAGCAGCCCACCAUCCCUGUGUGUGUAGGAGAUGCUCCUUUCUCUCAUCCCAAGAGCUGAAGAGCCACAGGGCAGAACUUGAAGAGGGAGGAGGAUUCUGAGAGGGAGGAAGAUUUGGACAAGGGUGGAUGUAUUUUAACUUUCAGUAAUAUGUGGAUAUUGAGUCUUUGCCAUCUCCUGGGGAAGAACUUGUUUGUCCAGUUCUUAGAGGGAGCUUUGGGGCCAAGUUUUGUCCCAGUUUAUAGCUGCAAGUCUCAAAAAGUCACCAGGAACAGACUGGAGAAGAAACCAGCCCCUCACCUGUCUGAAUGCUCACUGCAAUUCUUCCCAGGGUUCUCCUACAUCACUGACUUGAUUUCCCUCCCUCCUGGGGAGGAAGGAGACAGUCUUUACUUCCAGUUGUGGAGAAGAGCACAGCACAUUUCCCUUCAGGAACAGCUUUGGCUGUUCUGGAGCCUGCAGCACGCACAGAUAGAGUGCUGUUCCAGAGAACACGUUGCUGGAAAAUAUGAAGCCUUGUUAUCUUUCUGCGUUUUUAUUUAGCCAAACAAGGUUUCCAUAGCUCCUGGACAGCUCUGCUGCUGGGGGAAAGAAAAAAAACCACGCUGUCAUUUCUUCACCUGCCAACUCUCUGCACUAAUUUUGUCUCCCUGCUUCAAAGCGCUCGUCGUGCCCAGAAAACGUCAGUUCAAAGAGAAGUUUUGUCCAGUAAUGAGCCAGUGAAAAUUGUUUAGUGUAAGAUCUCCUUGUGCAGCUCUCAGAGCUGUGCUGAGGUGGGAGCAGAGCCGGGCACUGGGGUCUGCUCUGAGCUCUCUGCUCAGGAGGCUGCAAUCGGGGCUGAUGUUCCACAGGAGCAGCUCUAAGGGAGCAGAUGAAAGGAGCAUCCCUCGCUUCCUGCAUCUUCCCAAGUGAUAAAUUCAUCUGCUGAGGAGAAAAAAAACACCUCAGCCCUUACACAAGGGCUGUAGGAACAGGACACUUCUCUGUGCUGAUGCAUGUUGGGGUCUGCAGAGCCUCUUCCCCUGCUGACCUCCACCCCACACCGCCCCAGGGCGCGCUCCCAAAACGUGGGAUGUUCCCUGGGCUGGGGAAGUGUGUGAAAGGGAGCUGCUCCUGCCAGGGCUCAGCCUUGUGACAGGGCCUGCAAGGGCCACAUCCUGACCUUGGAUGCACAAGACUGUAGUAAAUCAGAGCCUCUAAUGCAGCCAAAAGCCAACUUUUCCCUGCAAGGAAAACACUGUAUGUAACACCAAGAGACAAAUACCAAAGUCCUUAGCUGGUUCUUGAAAAAAAGAAAUAAAUCUCCCAUUGGCCCUGGUGAGAGUUUUGCCUGAGUAAGGACAUCCAGAUUAUGCAUGCUAAUUAAAUGAACGACCCAUCCCUUCAGAGUCUGCUCUCUGCUGGGAAUUCCCCUCUGAGUAACUUGCUCCCAGUGAGGAAAGGAGUUGCAUGAAAAAUUUCCCAGAUGGUGAAUCUGUUAGAGAAAAUCACAAUCUGUUUGUGGCUUUUUCAAACAAAAAAGAGCACAGGAGUCGCUGAGGAAUAAAUUUGUUGUUGCAAACCAUUUGCUCAGUAAUGGGGAGAAUUUAGAUGGGCAAAGAGAUUUUUUAUUUUU